AUGCCAUGAUGAGGGAAUUUUUGUAACAAGUCCUUAAACCGCUCCCAUGCCUCGUAUAAAGAUUCCUCAUCAAGUUGCUGAAAUGAAGUAAUCUCAUUAUGGAGCUU